rnacentral:hammerhead_ribozyme from 1 species
AUCCAGCUGACGAGCCCAAAAUAGGACGAAACGCGUGUCCUGGAU